rnacentral:rRNA from 1 species
CGUAGGAGGCAAGCGUUAUCCGGAGUUACUGGGCGUAAAGCGCGUGUAGGCGGGUGGAUAAGUGGUUCGUGAAAUAUCCAGGCUAAACCUGGGGAGGACGAAUCAGACUGUUCAUCUGGAGGCGGGUAGAGGGGUGCGGAAUUCCGGGUGUAGCGGUGAAAUGUGUAGAUAUCCGGAGGAACACCAGAGGUGCAGACGGCGCCCUGGGCCCGACCUGACGCUGAGACGCGAAAGCUUGGGGAGCGAACGGGAUUAGAGACCCCGGUAGUCCAAGCCGUAAACGAUGUCAACUAGGUGUCCACUUGGCUACGGUCAAGGGGGCGCCGAAGCUAACGCGAUAAGUUGACCGCCUGGGGAGUACGGUCGCAAGAUUA